ensembl:lncRNA
AUGGAAUUCCCAUUUUUUUUUAGAAGCUCAAAUUACCAGGUGUGGCCCAUUCAAUGUCAGGUCAUAGAACUACAGCCAGCAGACAGAAAAAACAACAUCUGUGUGCCAUGUAUUUGGUUUGGUGAAAAGAAACCUGUCAUGCCUGCUCUGCUAAGCCCUUUUGUAAAUGAGCUGUGUUCUCUUGAGAGGGAAGGGUUAAUCUGGAAAGACUCACAAAAUGUAGAACAUAUUUCCAAGGUGUAUGCACUAAUAUGUAGCUCUGACUCAGUUGCCCGCCCACUCCUAAGAAACACAAAACAAUUCAAUGGACAAUAUGGGUGUGAUUUCUGCUAUCACAUAGGUGGAGGUCCUUAUCCAUAUAGAACACCUGAGCCUCUUCUCAGAUCUGAAACAGAACAUUAUGACCAUGCUAUGGCAGCUACAGUACAACUGCCAGUCAAGGGUGUAAAAGGCCCAACGGAAUUGAUGAGAUUACAAAAGUUUCAGGUUGUUAAUGGUUUUGUCCCAGAAUAUCAGCACAGUGUUUGUCUUGGUGUCACUCGACAACUGGCAACUCUAUGGCUUGACUCCAACAAUCACAAUGAAGAGUGGUACAUAGGCACAAAAGCUGACAUAAUUGACCAAAAACUGCUGGCUAUAAAACCUCCAGUAGAGAUAACAAGAACGCCCAGGUCAAUGCAAGACAGGAAAUACUGGAAAGCCUCAGAAUGGAGGUCAUUUCUUCUUUUCUAUUCUUUGCUAAUUCUAAAUGGUGUUCUAAAGAAGAAGUAUUGGAACCACCUGUUUCUCUUAGUUUUUGCUUUGCAUAUACUUCUUCAACAGCAGUUCAAACGCUGUGAAGUCAGUGUAGCGGAAAUAGCACUGAAGAAGUUUGUGAUUCAGUUUGAGGUGCUGUAUGGUAUUAAGAAUGUGUCAUUCAAUGUACACCUGUUGACACACCUUGCAGACAGUGUUAAGAACUGGGGUCCUUUGUGGGCAACAUCAACGUUUUCAUUUGAAUCUUUCAAUGGUACUUUAUUAAAGUACUUCAAUGGGACUACUCAUGUCCCUGUGCAAAUUGUGAAGACAUUCCUUAAGUGGAAGAGUCUGCGAAAAAGGGUGGAAAAAUGUUUAGUCAACACAGACGAUACACUAAAAGACCUCUUCUCCCAACUUCAAAAUAGUAAUUCCAUGAGUUGUAAAGCCAAAAAUCUGACUGGAAAUGUCACCGUGUUUGGUCCUCAUUCUGACACUGUAAGUGCAUCACACGUCUUUGCCAUCGAAGAAUUGAAUGGUGGUAUAGUGUGUAACUGUACAUCCUACACUCGUUUCAUAAUCGGUGAGACACUGUAUCAUGCAGAAGAUAACACCAGAUUAAAGAAAAGAAAUAAUUCUAUUACAGAAUUAAAAGAUGGCACAUUGUGUAAAGUCUUGAGCUUAGUUUCUUACGAAACUGUCACCAGUGCUUCAGACACUGAUGUUGAAAAAAAAUGCUGUGUAGUCGUGCAGAAUCUUGAAAAGUCAAGAAGAGCAUUGUGUAGGGACAUUCAAUUGAAUAUCUCAUUUAAGUUUGUGUAUGAGGUGUCUGAAAACAGUUAUGUGUAUGCUGUGAACACUGACUCGUUUAAAAGAAAAUGUGUAAUGGUAAAAUUACAGGACAGCACAUUUGUCAUACCUCUCCCAAAUAAUGUAGAAAGGGACUGA